rnacentral:rRNA from 1 species
UACAGAGGGGGCAAGCGUUAUUCGGAAUUAUGGGCGUAAAGGGCGCGUAGGCGGCGAUUCAAGUGACGGGUGAAAUCCCUCGGCUUAACCGAGGAACUGCCUGUCAGACUGGAUUGCUUGAGUCCGGGAGAGGCGAGUGGAAUUCCCAGUGUAGCGGUGAAAUGCGUAGAUAUUGGGAGGAACACCAGUGGCGAAGGCGGCUACCUGGACAGAAACUAGACGCUGAGGCGCGAAAGCUAGGGGAGCAAACAGG